AGAGUUUGAUCAUGGCUCAGGACGAACGCUGGCGGCGUGCCUAAUACAUGCAAGUAGAACGCUGAAGAGAGGAGCUUGCUCUUCUUGGAUGAGUUGCGAACGGGUGAGUAACGCGUAGGUAACCUGCCUUGUAGCGGGGGAUAACUAUUGGAAACGAUAGCUAAUACCGCAUAACAAUGGAUGACACAUGUCAUUUAUUUGAAAGGGGCAAUUGCUCCACUACAAGAUGGACCUGCGUUGUAUUAGCUAGUAGGUGAGGUAAUGGCUCACCUAGGCGACGAUACAUAGCCGACCUGAGAGGGUGAUCGGCCACACUGGGACUGAGACACGGCCCAGACUCCUACGGGAGGCAGCAGUAGGGAAUCUUCGGCAAUGGGGGCAACCCUGACCGAGCAACGCCGCGUGAGUGAAGAAGGUUUUCGGAUCGUAAAGCUCUGUUGUAAGUCAAGAACGGGUGUGAGAGUGGAAAGUUCACACUGUGACGGUAGCUUACCAGAAAGGGACGGCUAACUACGUGCCAGCAGCCGCGGUAAUACGUAGGUCCCGAGCGUUGUCCGGAUUUAUUGGGCGUAAAGCGAGCGCAGGCGGUUUGAUAAGUCUGAAGUUAAAGGCUGUGGCUCAACCAUAGUUCGCUUUGGAAACUGUCAAACUUGAGUGCAGAAGGGGAGAGUGGAAUUCCAUGUGUAGCGGUGAAAUGCGUAGAUAUAUGGAGGAACACCGGUGGCGAAAGCGGCUCUCUGGUCUGUAACUGACGCUGAGGCUCGAAAGCGUGGGGAGCGAACAGGAUUAGAUACCCUGGUAGUCCACGCCGUAAACGAUGAGUGCUAGGUGUUGGAUCCUUUCCGGGAUUCAGUGCCGCAGCUAACGCAUUAAGCACUCCGCCUGGGGAGUACGACCGCAAGGUUGAAACUCAAAGGAAUUGACGGGGGCCCGCACAAGCGGUGGAGCAUGUGGUUUAAUUCGAAGCAACGCGAAGAACCUUACCAGGUCUUGACAUCCCGAUGCUAUUUCUAGAGAUAGAAAGUUACUUCGGUACAUCGGUGACAGGUGGUGCAUGGUUGUCGUCAGCUCGUGUCGUGAGAUGUUGGGUUAAGUCCCGCAACGAGCGCAACCCUUAUUGUUAGUUGCCAUCAUUCAGUUGGGCACUCUAGCGAGACUGCCGGUAAUAAACCGGAGGAAGGUGGGGAUGACGUCAAAUCAUCAUGCCCCUUAUGACCUGGGCUACACACGUGCUACAAUGGUUGGUACAACGAGUUGCGAGUCGGUGACGGCGAGCUAAUCUCUUAAAGCCAAUCUCAGUUCGGAUUGUAGGCUGCAACUCGCCUACAUGAAGUCGGAAUCGCUAGUAAUCGCGGAUCAGCACGCCGCGGUGAAUACGUUCCCGGGCCUUGUACACACCGCCCGUCACACCACGAGAGUUUGUAACACCCGAAGUCGGUGAGGUAACCUUUUGGAGCCAGCCGCCUAAGGUGGGACAGAUGAUUGGGGUGAAGUCGUAACAAGGUA
rnacentral:rRNA from 1 species